GACGGAGGGGGCUAGCGUUGUUCGGAAUUACUGGGCGUAAAGGGCGCGUAGGCGGCCUGGUCAGUCGGGUGUGAAAGCCCGGGGCUCAACCCCGGAACGGCACCCGAGACGGUCAGGCUGGAGACCGGGAGAGGAGGGUGGAAUAGCCAGUGUAGAGGUGAAAUUCGUAGAUAUUGGCUGGAACACCGGUGGCGAAAGCGGCUCUCUUGCCCGGUUCUGACGCUGAGGCGCGAAAGCGUGGCGAGCAAACCGG
rnacentral:rRNA from 1 species